CAGCCGUAAACUAUGCUCGCUAGGUGUCAGGCAUGGCGCGACCGUGUCUGGUGCCGCAGGGAAGCCGUGAAGCGAGCCACCUGGGAAGUACGGCCGCAAGGCUGAAACUUAAAGGAAUUGGCGGGGGAGCACAACAACGGGUGGAGCCUGCGGUUUAAUUGGACUCAACGCCGGACAACUCACCGGGGACGACAGCCAAUAUGUAGGCCAGGCUGAAGACCUUGCCUGAAUCGCUGAGAGGAGGUGCAUGGCGUCAGUGACU
rnacentral:rRNA from 1 species